rnacentral:rRNA from 1 species
GACGGGGGGGGCAAGUGUUCUUCGGAAUGACUGGGCGUAAAGGCACGUAGGCGGUGAAUCGGGUUGAAAGUGAAAGUCGCCAAAAAGUGGCGGAAUGCUCUCGAAACCAAUUCACUUGAGUGAGACAGAGGAGAGUGGAAUUUCGUGUGUAGGGGUGAAAUCCGUAGAUCUACGAAGGAACGCCAAAAGCGAAGGCAGCUCUCGUGGGUCCCUACCGACGCUGGGGUGCGAAAGCAUGGGGAGCGAACAGG